UGGGUGAUCUGCCCUGCACUUCGGGAUAAGCCUGGGAAACUGGGUCUAAUACCGGAUAUACCUCAUUGAUCUCCUGGUUGGUGGGGGAAAGCUUUUGCGGUGUGGGAUGGCCCGCGGCCUAUCAGCUUGUUGGUGGGGUGAUGGCCUACCAAGGCGACGACGGGUAGCCGGCCUGAGAGGGUGACCGGCCACACUGGGACUGAGACACGGCCCAGACUCCUACGGGAGGCAG
rnacentral:rRNA from 1 species